GAAAUAAUUGCAUAAAUCAGUAGAAUUCUUGCAUCUAAUAAUGUUUGACCACUAUGUUAUAAUAACACUGCUAAAAACAAAAAUAUUUAUUAGCCCGAAUCAUGUCCUUCCAACGCUUAGCUAUCGAAGAAAAAAUUCACUUCGUAUUCAUGCUGGUUCAGUGCCUAGGUUUUAUAGUUUUGUUGAUGAUCUGGUACCUGAUUCCAAGAUGGCGGACUCUGCAGCACUAUAUUGCACUAUGUCAAAUAUUUCUUGGAACCGUGCACUCAGCACUAGGCUUUGCUGAUUUUUUUGUCGAUGUUAAACUUCCUACAUAUUUUAUUGAUUACAUAAUCUUACACGUGUGUUGCUCAUUAUCAUCAGUGGUCAUAGCUCAUUUGAAACUCGUUUUUGUCAAUUUAGGAAGGAUUUACUGGGAAAAACUUAAAUCGACAGUAUUUAUAAUUGGAUUUUAUACGUUAAUUAAGAUCGUACAUAACAUUUCAUUUACGUUCAUUAGAAAUUAUCAUGUGUUUCGGUUCACAAAAGAAAUUAUAAGUGGAUUUAACAUUGGUAUAAUGAUAGUCCUUAAUUUAGUUAUGUAUGUGAAUAUAUCUAUCUCUGUCAUGUCGAGUACUAUGUCUAAGGUUAGUGCGAGACAGGUAGUAUCUUUGAUAGGUGUGGCAAUCAUGUGUGAUUUUACCUUAAUAAUAAAUUGGGCUGUGUUCAUGUAUCAACAUUUUUUGUGUUAUACCAAUGCGUAUAUGGUAAAUGUAUCUAAGGCAGACGACGAAUGCAACAAAAUGUACUCUAUUAUAGUAUACACAAGGUUGAGAAUGCUACCGCUGGUCAUAUUUGUCUUGUUUAAAAAAUCAACUAGGGUUGUUGUGAAGGAUUAUUAUAAGAAGAAAAUGAAUGUUUGGCGAGCGAGACAUUCUGAUUUAAAUUAAUUUAUAUUUAUUGUUU